rnacentral:rRNA from 1 species
CAAUAGCGUAUAUUAAAGUUGUUGCAGUUAAAAAGCUCGUAGUUGGAUUUCUGGCGGUGUGACUCCGGCCGGCAUGACGUCGGGUCCAGAGCGCGCCACCAUCCUUCUGUCAACCUUCGCGGGAUUCGCUUCCCGCGUUGUGGGCUCAGAUAUUUUACCUUGAGAAAAUUAGAGUGUUUCAGGCAGGCUUUCGCCGGAAUACAUUAGCAUGGAAUAAUAGAAAAGGACUUCAACCUCUUCUGUUGGUCUGAGGGGCUGUAGUAAUGAUUAAUAGGGAUAGUUGGGGGCAUUAGUACUUGACUGUCAGAGGUGAAAUUCUCCGAUUUGUUAAAGACUAACUUAUGCGAAAGCAUUUGCCAAGGAUGUUUUCAUUAAUCAAGAACGAAAAGUUUAGGGGGAAUCAAAAGACGUAGUACUACGAAGUAACCGUUACCCUAGUACGUACGUAGGACCCUAAGGGCCCAAACGGACCAACGGGGAACUAAGGGGGGAUA